GAGAGAGGGAGGGAGGGGGUGAGCUCAGAGCCCCAGUCUCAGUCUCUAUUGUGAGAAAAACGAGCAAGAUUUCUGCAGCGACACACAAACCAUCGUUGAGUCGAUUAAAUCGUACCCAAAUCAGGGAGAAAAGAAAAGAAAAGACAUGGAGGAGGACAUGGACGAGGGACAGAGCCAGAAAGGAUGUAUGGAGUGCUGUCUGAAGUGUCUGCGUGGGAUCCCAUACCCAUCUCUGAUCGCCACCAUCCUGCUCUAUGCGGGCGUGGCUCUGUUCUGUGGGUGUGGUCAUGAGGCUCUCUCCGGCACUGUCUUAAUCCUACAGAACUACUUUGAAGUGAUCAGGUCUCCUACAGACUCGCUGGACGUCUUCACCAUCAUUGACAUCAUCAAAUACGUGAUCUACGGCAUCGCCUCGGCUUUCUUCGUCUAUGGGAUCCUGCUGAUGGUCGAGGGCUUUUUUACAAGUGGAGCCAUUAAAGAUCUGUAUGGAGAUUUUAAGAUCACUGCCUGCGGUCGCUGCGUUAGUGCAUGGUUCAUCAUGCUGACGUAUAUUUUCAUGCUGGCCUGGCUCGGAGUGACGGCUUUCACCGCUUUACCCGUUUUCGUCUACUUCAACAUCUGGACUAUUUGCCAAAACACCACUCUACUGGAGGGAGUGAGUCUGUGUCUGGACCCACGCCAAUUCGGUGUUGUGACUAUCGGGGAGGAGAAGUCGGUGUGUUCAGGAUCCGAGAAAUUCUUCAAAAUGUGUUUAUCUAAAGAGCUGGAUAUGACCUUUCACCUGUUUGUGUGUGCGCUGGCUGGAGCUGGAGCUGCUGUCAUCGCCAUGAUCCACUACCUGAUGGUUCUGUCGGCUAACUGGGCCUAUGUGAAGGACGCCUGUAAGAUGCAGAAAUACGAAGACUGCAAGUCCAAAGAGGAGCAGGAGCUGCACGACAUCCACUCCACACGCUCCAAAGAGCGACUCAACGCCUACACAUAAAGCAGGAAGUAGCACAGGAAGGGGCAGAGCCUCAGGCACUGGCUGGUGCCAUCCAAUGACCAAUGAUGAUAGUUACAGGUAAGUAGACCAUAAUUUUUUUUUUUCCUUUUUAAGUUUUUUUUUGUAUAUAGCCAUUCUGUAAAUGUCCACAUACUGUAUGGAAGCACAUCAGUUUCAGGUGAAUUAAUAUACAACAACAUUCCGUGUUACGGGGAAAUAAAGGGAGAUGGGGGAGGAGGGGGAGGGGUGGUGUUCAAAGGAAAAAAAGAAAGAACAAAAGAAAAAAAAAGAUGAAUUUCGUGUUUGUGGAGUUUUUAAAGCGAGGCAUGACGACAAGAUCAAAUACUCAGAUGAUGUAAUAAUCACAGAUGUACAGAUUAGAGCCCGAGAUAGAUGACACGAGUAAAAAUCCAUCAGUACUCACUGUUCAAAAGUAAGUGCCCCCCCACACUUUUUUUUUCAUAUGUUAGAGAACAGACAGAAAAAGAUCUGCAAAUAUUUUUUAGUGAAUAAAUCAUUCUGAAGAGAAAAUCUGCUCGUUAACGUAAUGUUAACACUUUCAGUAACACUAAUGACCUGUAACUCGAAAAUGAUGAAAAAUUGUACACCGAGGCCCACGCAUCAGUGUUACAGUGACACAUAAAGCAUUGACAUUUUCUUUCUUUCUUUCUUUUCUUUUUUUUGAUCUGAACUCAAUGCUGUACAUCUGUAGAACUUUGUCAGAAAAGUUGUCGACUCUUGUUCGCUCAUGUUUACAGAGAAAACUGUCCAGUGGGAAUGUUCAUGAUUCUUUGAGUCACGAUAAUGACAUAUCUUCUAAAAAAAACAAAGAAAAAUUGUAAGCAGAUGUGCAGAAAAUCUCUGAAAAUUAAAUUCAUCUGGAUUUGUUUUUUUUUUUUUUUUGGAAAAACACUUCACUUGACUGUGCAUCAAAAUGACAUCGUUGUCAUUUGAGUGAUUUCUGAAAACAACAUUGGGUGUUCAUGGAGUUUGUUUAUUUUUAAAUUUUAAGGAAAAAAUGUCUAAUUGAGCGAUAUCUUAAUUAACUUUGUUGAAUAAAUUGUCUAAUCUCGAAUGCUAAUCUAGCUAGGUCAUGUUUCUCAGAUGCACAGAAAAUAUAUAUAUUUUUUAAUUUCUGCAUUUGGAAAUAUAAAAAUCUCACCUCGCACUAACGUGUAUCAGUGACAUCGUCGUCUUUUUAUUUGAGUUCUAAAAUAUAAUUUGUGUCUUUUUUGUUUUAUGAACUUUAUUUUUAAUUCACACUUUGUUAAAUAAGUUCUCAACUCAAUGAUGCUUUUAUAACACUGAUGACAAAAUGAAAUCGCACACUGAUGCAGGUAAAUUUGUUGCGGAUUAAAUUGCAUCUUGGUUUUGCAUUGUUCAGGAGAAAAACAGUCUGUGCAUGUCGAAUGACCUCAUCCCCUAUCCCAAGCUCUGAUGUGUGCAUCUCCGAUACCAUGAUGAUAUUAUUCCCUGACAGUCACAUGACCGUUAUCUUGCUGAAAGUCGUUACAGUCCGGGAUGACGAAGGUGUGAGAUCAUCAUCCUUUCAUUUGCUCUGUUGGUGUUUGAGAGUUUUUCGUGCACUUUUGCGCCCAUUAUCGUGAGCUCGUUCUCAGUGUAAGUGCAUUGGGAUCUUUCUCCGGAUCCCCAUAAUGAUGUUAGGUGAAGACUGUGAACCUCGGUGUUAAGUGUGGCAUGGUUCAUGCAUUUAAUGGUUACUCAUUUUUAACAGAUCCAAAAAAUGAAUAAAAAAAGUUUCUUUUUCUGAGUUGGUAAAGUUGCGAGUGUGUCCCUGGCUCAUUCGCUUCUCUCCUGAUGUGCAGUGAUCGAAUCCUCUUCCUUUCUGCUGCUUUGCUCUCGAUGGUAGUGUUUGAUUUGUUUGUAAGUGUGUUUAGUUCGUGGUGAAGUCCCUCUCUCUCUCUCUCUCUCUCUCUCUCUCUCUCUCUCUCUCCUUGCACUCAUCUUUUGUACACUCCCUGAAGAAUGCGUAGUAGCCCACGCUGUACCAUGACUCUGUUUUGUACAUAAAUGUGCCGCCCGCUUGACAGUGGCUUUUCUGAUAUGCUUGCGUGAAAUAAAAUAAAUACCCUGGUGUAUUUGGGAAUAAA